GGAAGAAAAUCACAUUUCUUUUCCCACCGCACAGACUGGGAAUAGUUUCUGUGGGAUCUGGGAGCUGCAGGGGGAAGAAUGGAUCACAUGGGAGCCUCUCCGAGCUGGGAGGAGCGUGCGGUGCGGAAUCAGGUCACCGACAGAAACACGAGCUAGCCACAGCCACCGGCAGAGAGAGCCUGAGACAAAGGCAGGGGAGCUGAUGGGAAUUCAGCCGCUUUCUCCCCGUCUCUGGCCAUUAAACCUGGUCAUUUCGCGCUCCUUUCAUCAGCCAGUCCUCCCUCCAGGAGAUCUCUUCUCUUCAUGGGCCAUUAAUUAUUAAUUAUCUCCUGUUCAUGGCCAGUGAGUGUCCCUGCAUGGCUGAGAAAAUUCCAUCAUCCCAUGGGGAGAGGCUCCGCCCAGGGGAGGAGCCAAGCAUUCCUACCUGGAUAC